rnacentral:rRNA from 2 species
CCUGGCGGCGAUAGCGCGGUGGUCCCACCUGACCCCAUGCCGAACUCAGAAGUGAAACGCCGUAGCGCCGAUGGUAGUGUGGGGUCUCCCCAUGCGAGAGUAGGGAACUGCUAGGC